UACGUAGGGGGCAAGCGUUGUCCGGAUUUAUUGGGCGUAAAGAGCGUGUAGGCGGCCAGAUAAGUCCGCUGUGAAAUCUCGAAGGCUCAACUUCGAGCUGUCGGUGGAAACUGUCUGGCUAGAGUCCGGAAGAGGAGAAUGGAAUUCCUGGUGUAGCGGUGAAAUGCGCAGAUAUCAGGAAGAACACCCGUGGCGAAGGCGGUUCUCUGGGACGGUACUGACGCUGAGACGCGAAAGCGUGGGGAGCGAACAGG
rnacentral:rRNA from 1 species